UACGGAGGGUGCAAGCGUUGUCCGGAAUCACUGGGCGUAAAGGGCGUGUAGGCGGUCAAGUAAGUGGAAUGUGAAAGCCCCCGGCUUACCCGGGGAUCUGCAUCCCAAACUGCUUGGCUUGAGUACGGGAGAGGAUAGGGGAAUUCCUGGUGUAGCGGUGAAAUGCGUAGAUAUCAGGAGGAACACCGGUGGCGAAGGCGCCUAUCUGGCCCGAUACUGACGCUGAGGCGCGAAAGCUAGGGGAGCAAACGGG
rnacentral:rRNA from 1 species